AUCUCUACAGAGUACAGAAGAAAGAAACAAACAAAAGACGAACAAAAUCUCCUGUACCUCUUCAAGCCAAAUCUCUAACUCGUUUCUUCUCCUCCAAAGAACGAUUCAACAGUUUUCCAAGCUCAAUUUCCUCGUUAUCUAAGUAUAGAUAUGGAGCGUCAGAAAGAAGAAAUAAUGGAAGUGUCGAAGAAGAUUUUCGAAAAUGUAAACUCGAUGUCUUUCGUAAGUUUCGAUGACGAGCAGGUUUCAAAGAGUGAUGUGGAGAAAUCACUAUCCUCCAGCGUUGAGAAGAUGGU